UACAGAGGGGGCAAGCGUUGUUCGGAAUUACUGGGCGUAAAGGGCGCGUAGGCGGCCUGUUAAGUCGAACGUGAAAUCCCCGGGCUCAACCCGGGAACUGCGUCCGAUACUGGCAGGCUUGAAUCCGGGAGAGGGAUGCAGAAUUCCAGGUGUAGCGGUGAAAUGCGUAGAUAUCUGGAGGAAUACCGGUGGCGAAGGCGGCGUCCUGGGCCGGCAUUGACGCUGAGGAGCGAAAGCCAGGGGAGCAAACGGG
rnacentral:rRNA from 1 species